GACGAACGCUGGCGGCGUGCCUAAUACAUGCAAGUAGAACGCUGAAGGAGGAGCUUGCUUCUCCGGAUGAGUUGCGAACGGGUGAGUAACGCGUAGGUAACCUGCCUGGUAGCGGGGGAUAACUAUUGGAAACGAUAGCUAAUACCGCAUAAGAGUAGAUGUCGCAUGACAUUUGCUUAAAAGGUGCAACUGCACCACUACCAGAUGGACCUGCGUUGUAUUAGCUAGUUGGUGAGGUAGCGGCUCACCAAGGCAACGAUACAUAGCCGACCUGAGAGGGUGAUCGGCCACACUGGGACUGAGACACGGCCCAGACUCCUACGGGAGGCAGCAGUAGGGAAUCUUCGGCAAUGGACGGAAGUCUGACCGAGCAACGCCGCGUGAGUGAAGAAGGUUUUCGGAUCGUAAAGCUCUGUUGUAAGAGAAGAACGAGUGUGAGAGUGGAAAGUUCACACUGUGACGGUAUCUUACCAGAAAGGGACGGCUAACUACGUG
rnacentral:rRNA from 1 species